ACCAGAAUGGCUGAGUGGUUAAGGCGUUGGACUUAAGUUCCAAUAGACAUGUGUCUGCGUGGGUUCACUCCCCAUUUCUGGUA
rnacentral:tRNA from 1 species